rnacentral:rRNA from 1 species
UACGAAGGUCCCGAGCGUUGUUCGGAAUCACUGGGCGUAAAGGGCGCGUAGGCGGCGCGGUAAGUCAGAUGUGAAAUCCCGGGGCUCAACCCCGGAACUGCAUCCGAUACUGCCGUGCUAGAGGAUUGGAGAGGUAGCUGGAAUUCUUGGUGUAGCAGUGAAAUGCGUGGAUAUCAAGAGGAACACUCGUGGCGAAAGCGAGCUACUGGACAACUCCUGACGCUGAGGCUCGAAGGCCAGGGUAGCGAAAGGG